rnacentral:rRNA from 1 species
UACGUAGGGUGCAAGCGUUAAUCGGAAUUACUGGGCGUAAAGCGUGCGUAGGCGGUUGUGUAAGACAGAUUUGAAAUCCCCGGGCUCAACCUGGGAACUGCAUUUGUGACUGCACGGCUCGAGUGCGGCAGAGGGGGAUGGAAUUCCGCGUGUAGCAGUGAAAUGCGUAGAUAUGCGGAGGAACACCGAUGGCGAAGGCAAUCCCCUGGGCCUGCACUGACGCUCAUGCACGAAAGCGUGGGGAGCAAACAGG